rnacentral:rRNA from 1 species
GACGAACGCUGGCGGCGUGCCUAAUACAUGCAAGUAGAACGCUGAAGAGAGGAGCUUGCUCUUCUUGGAUGAGUUGCGAACGGGUGAGUAACGCGUAGGUAACCUGCCUUGUAGCGGGGGAUAACUAUUGGAAACGAUAGCUAAUACCGCAUAACAAUGGAUGACCCAUGUCAUUUAUUUGAAAGGGGCAAAUGCUCCACUACAAGAUGGACCUGCGUUGUAUUAGCUAGUAGGUGAGGUAACGGCUCACCUAGGCGACGAUACAUAGCCGACCUGAGAGGGUGAUCGGCCACACUGGGACUGAGACACGGCCCAGACUCCUACGGGAGGCAGCAGUAGGGAAUCUUCGGCAAUGGGGGCAACCCUGACCGAGCAACGCCGCGUGAGUGAAGAAGGUUUUCGGAUCGUAAAGCUCUGUUGUAAGUCAAGAACGAGUGUGAGAGUGGAAAGUUCACACUGUGACGGUAGCUUACCAGAAAGGGACGGCUAACUACGUGCCAGCAGCCGCGGUAAUACGUAGGUCCCGAGCGUUGUCCGGAUUUAUUGGGCGUAAAGCGAGCGCAGGCGGUUUGAUAAGUCUGAAGUUAAAGGCUGUGGCUCAACCAUAGUUCGCUUUGGAAACUGUCAAACUUGAGUGCAGAAGGGGAGAGUGGAAUUCCAUGUGUAGCGGUGAAAUGCGUAGAUAUAUGGAGGAACACCGGUGGCGAAAGCGGCUCUCUGGUCUGUAACUGACGCUGAGGCUCGAAAGCGUGGGGAGCGAACAGGAUUAGAUACCCUGGUAGUCCACGCCGUAAACGAUGAGUGCUAGGUGUUGGAUCCUUUCCGGGAUUCAGUGCCGCAGCUAACGCAUUAAGCACUCCGCCUGGGGAGUACGACCGCAAGGUUGAAACUCAAAGGAAUUGACGGGGGCCCGCACAAGCGGUGGAGCAUGUGGUUUAAUUCGAAGCAACGCGAAGAACCUUACCAGGUCUUGACAUCCCGAUGCUAUUUCUAGAGAUAGAAAGUUACUUCGGUACAUCGGUGACAGGUGGUGCAUGGUUGUCGUCAGCUCGUGUCGUGAGAUGCUGGGUUAAGUCCCGCAACGAGCGCAACCCCUAUUGUUAGUUGCCAUCAUUCAGUUGGGCACUCUAGCGAGACUGCCGGUAAUAAACCGGAGGAAGGUGGGGAUGACGUCAAAUCAUCAUGCCCCUUAUGACCUGGGCUACACACGUGCUACAAUGGUUGGUACAACGAGUUGCGAGUCGGUGACGGCAAGCUAAUCUCUUAAAGCCAAUCUCAGUUCGGAUUGUAGGCUGCAACUCGCCUACAUGAAGUCGGAAUCGCUAGUAAUCGCGGAUCAGCACGCCGCGGUGAAUACGUUCCCGGGCCU